rnacentral:rRNA from 1 species
GGCGGUAGGGCCGGUCCCGCACGCGAAGGGCAAAAGCGUUUUUAGCCUCCGCGAUGGUGCAGGGAAGGAACCCGUGCCGCGGCGAGUCUCGCUGACCUUCAAGGGACACGGCCGCCGAGAGGACCGUGACGCCUCAACGC